rnacentral:rRNA from 1 species
UUAAGAUACUAAGAGCAUACGGGGGAUGCCUUGGCGAUAUCUGCCGAAGAAGGACGUGACAAGCUGCGAAAAGCUGCGGAGAGAUGCAAAUAAUCUUAGACCCGCAGAUAUCCGAAUGGAGCAAUCCGGCUGUGGUUAUGCACAGUCAUCCAUACCAUUGAGUAUGAGAAGGGAACCGGACGAACUGAAACAUCUAAGUAAUCCGAGGAAGAGUAAUCAAACGAGAUACCCCAAGUAGCGGCGAGCGAACGGGGCAGAAGCCCAAACCGCGGAAGGAAACUUUUGCGGGGUAGAGGGCCAUCAAUAAAACAAGAACCUUUAGCUGAAUCUGUUGGGAAACAGAGCCGAAGACAGUGAAAGCCUGGUAAGCGAAAGAGGGACUUGCGGAGAUGGUACCGGAGUACUGCGGGACACGAGAAAUCCCGUAGGAAGCAGGGGGGACCACCCUCCAAGGCAAAACACAGAUAUCGACCGAUAGCGAAUAGUACCAUGAGGGAAAGGUGAAAAGCACCCCGGGAGGGGAAUGAAAAAGAACCUGAAACCGUAUGUUUACAAGCAGUCGAAGACCGCUUAAUAAUAAGGUCAACGGCGUGCCUAUUGAAGAAUGAACCGGCGAGUUAUGAGGUCUGGCGAGGUUAAGCAGGAAAUGCGGAGCCGAAGCGAAAGCGAGUCUUAAUAGGGCGAAAGUCGGAUUGCAUAGACCCGAAACCACAGUGAUCUACCCAUGUCCAGGUUGAAACACAGGUAAAAAUGUGUGGAGGACCGAACCUAUAUCCGUUGAAAAGGGUUAGGAUGAGGUGUGGGUAGGGGUGAAAUUCCAAUCGAACGUGGAGAUAGCUGGUUCUCCCCGAAAUAGCUUUAGGGCUAGCCUCAGGGAAGAGAUUACAGGCGGUAGAGCACUGAUCAGGGGCGGGACCUACCCGGUUACCAAACCUAGUCAAACUCCGAAUGGCUGUAAUUAUACCUGGGAGUCAGACUACGACUUAUAAGGGCCGUAGUCAAAAGGGAAACAGCCCAGACCAUCAGCUAAGGUCCCCAAUGCCGUGCUAAGUGGAGAAGGAUGUGGCAUUUCAUAAACAACCAGGAUGUUGGCUCAGAAGCAGCCACCAUUUAAAGAGUGCGUAAUAGCUCACUGGUCGAGAGACGCUGCGCCGAAAAUGUCCGGGGCUCAAGCACGGAACCGAAGCUAUGGCAGACGCAAGUCUGGGUAGGGGAGCGUUCUUAUGAGGAAGAAGCAUGACCGUAAGGACAUGUGGACACAUAAGAAGUGAGAAUGCCGGUAUGAGUAUCGAAAAGAAAGGUGAGAAUCCUUUCCACCGAAAGCCCGAGGGUUCCUGAGCAACGAUCGUCGACUCAGGGUAAGUCGGGACCUAAGCCGAGGCGAAAAGCAUAGGCGAUGGACAACAGGUUGAAAUUCCUGUACCGGAUAAAGUCGAUAUGAGCAAUGGAGUGACGCAGGAGGGUACAUGAUCGCGCGACUGGAAGAGCGCGUCCAAGUGAGUAUGUAGAUACAGAGGCAAAUCCCUGUAUCUGAAAGCAGAGACAUGAUGGGGAGUUAAAGGAAACUUUGACGAACUGAUGGAUCCCACACUGCCAAGAAAAACUUCUAGCCAGACAAUAUCCGCCCGUACCGUAAACCGACACAGGUAGGCGGGGAGAGAAUCCUAAGGUGCGCGGGAAAACCCUCGUUAAGGAACUCGGCAAAUUGCAUCCGUAACUUCGGGAGAAGGAUGACCCUGAGUAAAAGAAGAGCAGAAACGCUUAGAGGAGAAAAGGGUGGCAGAAAAGAGGCCCAAGCAACUGUUUACCAAAAACACAGGUGCCUGCGAAAGCGAAAGCUGAAGUAUAGGUGCUGACGCCUGCCCGGUGCCGGAAGGUUAAGGAGAGAGGUCAGCUAAGGCGAAGCUUCGAACUGAAGCCCCGGUGAACGGCGGCCGUAACUAUAACGGUCCUAAGGUAGCGAAAUUCCUUGUCGGGUAAG